GCUACGGGUGGCAGCAGUGGGGAAUAUUGGGCAAUGGGCGCAAGCCUGACCCAGCAACGCCGCGUGAAGGAAGAAGGCUCUCGGGUUGUAAACUUCUUUUAUCAGGGACGAAGCAAGUGACGGUACCUGAUGAAUAAGCCACGGCUAACUACGUGCCAGCAGCCGCGGUAAUACGGAGGUGGCAAGCGUUAUCCGGAAUGACUGGGCGUAAGGGGGGCGUGGGGGGUUUAGUAAGUUUGCGGUGUAAUUCCGGGGCUCAAACACGGCAGUACCGCAAAAAAUACUAGACUAGUGUACAGGAGGGGUAAGUGGAAUUCCUGGUGUAGCGGUGGAAUGCGUAGAUAUUAGGAGGAACACCAGGGGCGAAGGCGACUUACUGGACUGUAACUGACACUGAGGCACGAAAGCGUGGGGAGCAAACAGGAUUAGAUACCCCAGUAGUC
rnacentral:rRNA from 1 species